rnacentral:lncRNA from 1 species
CUAACCCGACACACGCACACAACCCCCUCUCUGCUUUGCCACUGCGGGCUGUGCCUAAAUGGCGGCGGCCGCCUCCAUCCGGGGCUGGGGCCGCUCCCCCCCCCCCCCCCCCCCCCCCCCCCCGCGCCCCCCCCGCCCGGCGGUGACCGUUUCGCUUCCAUUUCCGGGAGGGUUGGAUCUCCCUGUGGGAAGCGGGGCCUGUGCCUGCCUGGGGCGGCUGUCGGUCCGUCCCGGCCGGUGGACGGGGAUGCACCAGGAGUGUUAUCAAACAUUAUGGAACGAUACACGGAUCAUGAGCUGGAGGAGAUGCUGACUUUUCAGAGGCUGAGAUCUUUCAGAGUCACAGGGACUCUUGGCAGAACCUGUUGCUAUCACCACCUCACCCAGGUACUGUGGUUCUGUGUCAUGGUUGGCAGGACACUUUGUGCUGGGGUCACCCUCAGCUUCUAGCCCAUUUUCCCUUGUGGAUUAGCCCCAUUCCUGCUGCGUGCUCCCCAACAGCUUAGGCUUUCUUGAGCCCUGAACAGAGUACUGUGGGACCUUGUCCCCAGGGUUGCCUGAUAGUUCCUAGCAAGUCUCCAGAUCAUUGCUGAAGACUGCGGCCAGGCUACAGAAGUAGAUCACAGCCUUCUGUGUAAAGCAGAUUACAGGCUUCUGCAUCAGAAGUGACCCCUGCCUCCAGGUGCCUAAACUCUUUAAUGGGGAAUUGGUGAGGGUAUGAGUUUUUAUAAAUCAGAUGUGGCUAACCUGCAUCAUCUAGCCAACAGUCAUCAGCUCAGCAGUAAUCUGCUGGCUCUUGGGAGUCUCAGAUUCUACCUGGAUGUCAGCAACAAGGUGAAUAGUGCAGAGGUCUGUCACAGGACCUGUCCAAUUUAACAUUUUUAUCAAUGGUUUGGAGGAGGGAAAAGUGCUUAUAAGGUUUGCAGAUGGUGCCAAAUCAGGUGGUGGUAGAGGCCUAGCAAGUACACUUGAGUGUGGGGCUGCCACCCAGGGGGACCUAGGCAAGCUGCAGGAAUGAGCCAACAGGAACCUUCUGACAUUCAACAGAGUCCUGCACCAGGAAAAGAAAAGAAAAAGAAAAGGAAAAGAAGAAGAAAAGUCAACAGAACAGACUGGAGACUGACUGGCCAGGGAGAAGCUUCUGCUGAGAAGGACCUAGAAGGUCCUUGUAGAUGCUAAACUGCUGUGACCGGCAGCAUGAAAGGCCAAGAGCAUCCUGGGUUAUAUCAAGAGGAGUACAGCCGGCAGAUCAAGGUGAGUGACUGUUGCCUUUCUAAUCAGUGUUAGAGUACACCUAGAAUACUGUGUCCAGU